rnacentral:rRNA from 1 species
CCUACGGGUGGCAGCAGUGAGGAAUAUUGGUCAAUGGACGCGAGUCUGAACCAGCCAUGCCGCGUGCAGGAAGACGGCUCUAUGAGUUGUAAACUGCUUUUGUACGAGGGUAAACGCAGAUACGCGUAUCUGUCUGAAAGUAUCGUACGAAUAAGGAUCGGCUAACUCCGUGCCAGCAGCCGCGGUAAUACGGAGGAUUCGAGCGUUAUCCGGAUUUAUUGGGUUUAAAGGGUGCGUAGGCGGUCGGAUAAGUUAGUGGUGAAAGCCUGAGGCUCAACUGCGGAAGUGCCUCUGAUACUGUUCGGCGAGAGUGUAGUAGCGGUAGGCGGAAUGUAUGGUGUAGCGGUGAAAUGCUUAGAGAUCACACAGAACACCGAUUGCGAAGGCAGCUUACCAAGCUACUACUGACGCUGAGGCACGAAAGCGUGGGGAGCAAACAGGAUUAGAUACCCUUGUAGUC